rnacentral:rRNA from 1 species
CCUACGGGUCGCACCAGUGGGGAAUAUUGCACAGUGGGCGCAAGCCUGAUGCAGCCAUGCCGCGUGUUUGAAGAAGGCCUUCGGGUUGUAAAGUACUUUCAGCGGGGAGGAAGGUGUUGUGGUUAAUAACCGCAGCAAUUGACGUUACCCGCAGAAGAAGCACCGGCUAACCCCGUGCCAGCAGCCGCGGUAAUACGGAGGGUGCAAGCGCUAAUCGGAAUUACUGGGCGUAAAGCGCACGCAGGCGGUCUGUCAAGUCGGAUGUGAAAUCCCCGGGCUCAACCUGGGAACUGCAUUCGAAACUGGCAGGCUAGAGUCUUGUAGAGGGGGGUAGAAUUCCAGGUGUAGCGGUGAAAUGCGUAGAGAUCUGGAGGAAUACCGGUGGCGAAGGCGGCCCCCUGGACAAAGACUGACGCUCAGGUGCGAAAGCGUGGGGAGCAAACAGGAUUAGAUACCCUAGUAGUC